AUUGAACGCUGGCGGCAUGCUUUACACAUGCAAGUCGAACGGUAACAGGUUAAGCUGACGAGUGGCGAACGGGUGAGUAAUGCAUCGGAACGUGCCAGAUCGUGGGGGAUAACGCAGCGAAAGCUGCGCUAAUACCGCAUACGAUCUGAGGAUGAAAGCGGGGGACCGUAAGGCAUCGCGCGAUCGGAGCGGCCGAUGUCAGAUUAGGUAGUUGGUGGGGUAAAGGCCCACCAAGCCGACGAUCUGUAGCUGGUCUGAUAGGACGACCAGCCACACUGGGACUGGGACACGGCCCAGACUCCUACGGGGGGCAGCAGUGGGGAAUUUUGGACAAUGGGCGAAAGCCUGAUCCAGCAAUGCCGCGUGCAGGAAGAAGGCCUUCGGGUUGUAAACUGCUUUUGUACGGAGCGAAAAGGUCCUUUCUAAUACAAGGGGCUCAUGACGGUACCGUAGGAAUAAGCACCGGCUAACUACGUGCCAGCCGCCGCCGUAA
rnacentral:rRNA from 1 species